CCUACGGGAGGCAGCAGUGGGGAAUCUUGCACAAUGGGGGAAACCCUGAUGCAGCGACGCCGCGUGGGUGAUGAAGUAUUUCGGUAUGUAAAGCUCUAUCAGCAGGGAAGAAAAUGACGGUACCUGACUAAGAAGCCCCGGCUAACUACGUGCCAGCAGCCGCGGUAAUACGUAGGGGGCACGCGUUAUCCGGAUUUACUGGGUGUAAAGGGAGCGUAGACGGCGAUGCAAGCCAGAUGUGAAAGCCCGGGGCUCAACCCCGGGACUGCAUUUGAAACUGUAUAGCUGGAGUGUCGGAGAGGCGGGCGGAAUUCCUAGUGUAGCGGUGAAAUGCGUAGAUAUUAGGAGGAACACCAGUGGCGAAGGCGGCCUGCUGGACGAUGACUGACGUUGAGGCUCGAAAGCGUGGGGAGCAAACAGGAUUAGAUACCCUAGUAGUC
rnacentral:rRNA from 1 species